rnacentral:rRNA from 1 species
CAUUGACCGUACCCUAAACCGACACAGGUGGACUGGUAGAGUAUACCAAGGCGCUUGAGAGAACUAUACUGAAGGAACUCGGCAAAUUGCAUGCGUAACUUCGGGAUAAGCAUGACUUCUAUCGGGGCAACCCUUUAGGAGUGGCACAAAAGAGGGGGUGGCGACUGUUUACUAAAAACACAGGGCUCUGCGAAGAUGCAAAUCGACGUAUAGGGUCUGACGCCUGCCCGGUGCCGGAAGGUUAAAAGGAGAGGUGCAAGCUUUGAAUUGAAGCCCCGGUAAACGGCGGCCGUAACGAUAACGGUCCUAAGGUAGCGAAAUUCCUUGUCGGGUAAGUUCCGACCUGCACGAAUGGCGUAACGACUUCCCCACUGUCUCCAGUAUAGACUCAGCGAAAUUGAAUUCCCCGUGAAGAUGCGGGGUUCCUGCGGUCAGACGGAAAGACCCCAUGCACCUUUACUAUAGCUUUACGCUGGCAUUUGUGUCGGCAUGUGCAGGAUAGGUGGUAGGCUUUGAAGCAAGGACGCUAGUUCGUGUGGAGCCAAAAGAUGAGAUACCACCCUUAUCAUCAUAGAUGUCUAACCGCGGCAUAACAGUGUCCGGGACAGCGUAUGGUGGGUAGUUUGACUGGGGCGGUCGCCUCCCAAAGAGUAACGGAGGCGCGCGAUGGUGGGCUCAGAACGGUCGGAAAUCGUUCGACGAGUGCAAUGGCAUAAGCCUGCCUGACUGCGAGACCGACAGGUCGAGCAGAGACGAAAGUCGGUCAUAGUGAUCCGGUGGUCCCGCGUGGAAGGGCCAUCGCUCAACGAAUAAAAGGUACGCUGGGGAUAACAGGCUGAUGAUGCCCAAGAGUCCAUAUCGACGGCAUCGUUUGGCACCUCGAUGUCGGCUCAUCACAUCCUGGGGCUGGAGCAGGUCCCAAGGGUAUGGCUGUUCGCCAUUUAAAGUGGUACGUGAGCUGGGUUUAGAACGUCGUGAGACAGUUCGGUCCCUAUCUGCCGUGGGUGUAGGAAUAUUGAGAAGAGCUGACCCUAGUACGAGAGGACCGGGUUGGACGAAUCUCUGGUGGACCUGUUGUGGCGCCAGCCGCAUUGCAGGGUAGCUAAAUUCGGACGGGAUAACUGCUGAAAGCAUCUAAGCAGGAAGCCUCCUUCAAAACUAGUAUUCCCUUGAGAGCCGUGGAAGACCACCACGUCGAUAGGCCGGGUGUGGAAGCGUAGCAAUAUGUGAAGCUUACCGGUACUAAUAGCAC